AACGCUGGCGGCGCGCUUAACACAUGCAAGUCGAGCGAGAACCAGGGCUUCGGCCCUGGGGACAGCGGCGAACGGGUGAGUAACACGUGGGUAAUCUGCCCUUGACAUCGGGAUAGCCCGGGGAAACCCGGAUUAAUACCGAAUAGCCUCCGGAGCCUUCGGGCGCCGGAGAAAAGGUAGCUUCGGCCUCUGGUCAAGGAUGAGCCCGCGGCGGAUUAGCUUGUUGGCGGGGUAAUGGCCCACCAAGGCGA
rnacentral:rRNA from 1 species